CAGCUGUCAAAGUUAUACAUUGUAGACAGGUAGUGGGGCCUAGUUAGUUGUACCUUAGGCCUAGUGGGCUGUUCAAAGCAUGGAGUUGAUAUGUUUGUGAUAUAGCCGAUUUGUUUUCAUAUUUACAACGCCCUGAAUGAGUAUGGUGGAAAAAUUGGACAUGUCAUCACCACCAGAGACUGAUGAAGAAGAAAUUGACAAUGUUGGUGACAAUGCUGAGAAGGCCACAAGAGAAUUACUCGAAAAUCUACUGGAGGCCUCCGAAGAGGGGUCUCCGCAACCGAUGUAUGAGGCUAUUCAUAAAUUGAAGGGCAAGAACGGGUGCUCUGGAAGUCAAGAUGUCGUUGGUUGGAUACCCGAUCCAAGCGUUUCCUAUCGGAGAUUAGCAGCUGAUCCGCCACCUACGAACUCAAAACGUGAAAAUUCCAACUUGGGAUUAUCUCGAGAUUUGACGAUGGGCCUGGGGUAUGUCAAAAAAGAAAAACCAAAGGAAUAUUUUUUCAAGCAUUUCGACGAAUGGGAACAUUAUAUCGAUCAUUAUCGGCGGGAACAUGCACACACUUAUUCUGUUCAGCCAUAUGUAUGGGAUCAUAUGCAAAUUAGAGAUAACAAAAUGAUGUAUAAGAGACUGAAUAAAGGUUCGAGUGAACAGUCGAGGGGUGAGGAAAUGGGGACGGCCGAAACCCUCCGAUCUGUGUCCGAGAGAUUACAAAAGGAGGCGCUACUUCCCCAGGCCCAGCAUCAGUCAACGAUAGAUAAACUUUACGGAAUGGCGUCAAAUGAUGCUUCCUUGUCGAGCAUUUUCCAGUUAGGCUAUAACCCAUAUAACAGUAAAUAUAAACUAGCGCCCCCUAAGUCUGCUGCCAGUACAACUUUACCAGGAUCAUUGCCGGCAACUUCUGGUCAAGGAAUGAUAAACGGUGAAUUAGAAAAUACAGAAUUGACGACAGAAGGUUCUGCUACUCGGAACCGAAGUCGUGAAAAUUCCGCCAAAGAGUCCUUUAGUAGUCGAUCAUCACGGACAGUCAAUUUAUCACCGACAAAAAUCUCGUUCAUAUCGGGUGCCACCAAACAAAAGCCGACUUCUGGAGAUUUCCGUGGAAAUAAAGCAUUCCAGAAAAAUCCAGCUGCCAGUAUGACAGGAUCUCAGAUUGCAUUAAAUAUUACUGGUCGAAGCCAGAGCGACAUUUUACUCCACACAUCAAACAUUAAAACUUUGGAAGCUUUAACCCAGAUGGCGUCAAAACAGGACCAGGAGGAAAGAUGGCGCAAGACCCAAGAAUUAGCAAAGGGAGUAAUGGUCCGAGAGGUCAAAAUGCAUCACCGCCGACCACAGCUGAAAUUUUAACGAUUGAAACACAUUUUUCGGUUCAUGGUGCUAGUCUCUUCUUUUAUUGAUGUGGUUUGACUCUAGCGGACGAGCUUAUGUUAGUUUGGCAACAAGAUAUGACCCAAUCAGAAAAUAGCCUUGUUUCGUCCUCCCAGAUGAAAAAGCUGGUUCUUUUUCGUAUCUCCUUGUGAGACCUGAUGUCGAAAGUGAACGACACGACAUGGCGCGAUAUGAUCACUGCUCUACGAACCCUGCCCAAGCCAGUUGUUCCUACCCCAAGAGGUAGCGCUGCAAAAUUGAACAAGCCUGGUGACCUCACUGAUGUACGACCAAGUUUCCGAGACAACAAAUACAUUCUUGCAAGUUUAAAACAAUCGAAAAGUUCCCCAAUGUGUGCUACCUCCAAUGUUACUCCAAACAGUCGAAUGCCUUCUGGCAUGUUCACGGAUUUAUUCAAUCAAAAUUUAUCAGUUAAUCAAAAAUAUGAUCACUAUUUAGCUAAUAUUGAUGCAGACGAUCUUGAGGAAGCUGCACCAAAAAGUGCUGCUACUAAAAAGGAUUUCUUGGCAUCAAAAAAGGACCUAUCAGACUCAAGUGCCAGUUUGAGAUCAAAACGUUACCGAGAUGUAAACUCUGGUGGGAAAAGUGGACGACCGAAUUCAGGAAAGAAAAGUCAUAAGGAUGUUACGUCCGACAGGCUUCGAGAUUCCCUUAUUGGGGAAGAUAGUUAUGAGGAUUUGCAGAAUGCUAGUUUAGAAUUCCGACACCGGAUGUCGCCGGGGUCAAGGCCAAAUCAACCAAAGGUCUCUUUCAAGGAGGAAUUAAAGGUGAAGUUUUUAAAUGAUGAGGGGCGUGUUAAGAGCAAACCGAGACAUUUAGAGUCGCCUGAUCACGAUCGCAUUAACAGUUCAGCGUCGACAAGAUCGGCUGACAAAAACGUGCAUUUUAGAAAGGAGAGAACUGAUCAGAGUCAAGUGCCAUCGUCUCGGUAGCAGGCUUUUGGUCCUGGCUGAUUUCACAGUAGGGGCAGUGAAGAGUGGGCUAUAUCAGAAGAAAGUAAUUUUGUUCUAUGUUUGUGAUCAUGAUGCGGCAUAUCUUAUGAUUUUUAAUUUAUAAAUGAAUAAAAGUAUGAAUAUAUUAUAAAGUA